AACGAACGCUGGCGGCAGGCUUAACACAUGCAAGUCGAACGCCCCGCAAGGGGAGUGGCAGACGGGUGAGUAACGCGUGGGAACAUACCCUUUCCUGCGGAAUAGCUCUGGGAAACUGGAAUUAAUACCACAUACGCCCUACGGGGGAAAGAUUUAUCGGGGAAGGAUUGGCCCGCGUUGGAUUAGCUAGUUGGUGGGGUAAAGGCCUACCAAGGCGACGAUCCAUAGCUGGUCUGAGAGGAUGAUCAGCCACAUUGGGACUGAGACACGGCUCAAACUCCUACGAGAGGCAGCAGUGGGGAAUAUUGGACAAUGGGCGCAAGCCUGAUCCAGCCAUGCCGCGUGAGUGAUGAAGGCCUUAGGGUUGUAAAGCUCUUUCACCGAUGAAGAUAAUGACGGUAGUCGGAGAAGAAGCCCCGGCUAACUUCGUGCCAGCCGCCGCAGUAAUAC
rnacentral:rRNA from 1 species